GGAGGGGGAGGACGAUGAUGGUGAUGAUGAUGAUGAUGAUGAUGAUCAUCAUCAUCAUCAUCAUCAUCAUCAUCAUCAUCAUCAUUAUCA
rnacentral:pre_miRNA from 1 species